CUUAAACUCCCCAGUCCCAACGGAUUUGCUGAGAAAAUAUUGUCGCAUUCACUAGUCUUGUUUCCAAGCACUCAACUUUGAAGCUUUCUAGAAUCCCGCGGGAAAUGGAAGAAAGCCCAAACGUUUCUUCGAUGAAUACGGAGAAUCCAGACCCAGAAACCGAACGUGAUCAAUAUGAAUCUUCUCCUCAAAUCUGUUCUGAAGCUCAGGAAGAUCGCUGUGGAUCGAAGCCCUCACUUGAUCCAAUGGGGAUGAUGAGAGCUAUCGAAGUUGUCGAGAGGGAUUCGAUGGACAUUGCCGAAAGCUUCACUGCACUUUUCUGUUCUCUCCGUUUGGCUCUAUCUGAGGUCACUAGCAGUUCAGUUGAUCACAUGCGUUGCUUUAGUGAGGCUGCUGGGCGCCUGCAAGAAUCUGUACUUGAUGCAGCAACUAAGGGGAACCGUUACAUUAAUUCAUGUCUCAGUUAGAGAAGAGUUGGGAUAGCGUACGUUGUAUGGUUUCAAAGCUCUCGGAAUCAGGAUUAAGUUAAAUGAGGAAAUGAAGGGCAUUGAAAAUCUAGCUAUGCAGUUAAAGAUGCUGAAGAGAAACGUAGAUGUUAUGGACUCAGCUGUGAAUAAGCUCGUCCGUUUUCCAUGAUUUUGGAUCACACUGCCAUGUUUGAGCCAAAUCAAGUAUAUCUGAAAGGCAAAGUUCCUUUGUAAAGAGCUAUUUUCACAAUCACCAAACUUUGGCAAUUCCCAGACCUAGUCAUUUUGGGUUUGCCAUUUGAUGUUUGUUGUUGGAAUGUGUAUAUUGUUUCAUUCGCAAGAUACUUUCUUUUAAUUUUAUUUUCUUCAUCUUUGCAACUUUUAUUUGGAGUUCAAUUUUAUGCCUUGCACUUGUUUGAAGGUAUAUAGAAAGAAGCAAUCUAGGCUUA